rnacentral:rRNA from 1 species
AGCAGUAGCCGCGGUAAUACGAAGGGGGCUAGCGUUGCUCGGAAUCACUGGGCGUAAAGGGUGCGUAGGCGGGUCUUUAAGUCAGGGGUAAAAUCCUGGAGCUCAACUCCAGAACUGCCUUUGAUACUGAAGAUCUUGAGUUCGGGAGAGGUGAGUGGAACUGCGAGUGUAGAGGUGAAAUUCGUAGAUAUUCGCAAGAACACCAGUGGCGAAGGCGGCUCACUGGCCCGAUACUGACGCUGAGGCACGAAAGCGUGGGGAGCAAACAGGAUUAGAUACCCCGGUAGUCCCUGUCUCUUAUAC